AAAAUGAUGAUGAUAGGAAUAGUAGAUUUAUAUAAGCUGAUAGCGAAUUAGGGAUAGUGUAAGCCUAAGAAGUAGACAUAAAUCGAAAGACAUCCUUGAGUAGAUUGUCUGAAAGCCGAUUUGGUUAUUAGGAUAAUACGUUCUCCCUCGUUAUAGGGACUUAAGAUAAUCUGAAUUUUAUGAUUAACAUGGAUGGCACCGUGGGAUAUUAUUCUCACUCCAAUUUUUUUGGAGUGAGAUUUUUUAUUUGGGCUAUAUUUUGUAUUAAUGCAUAUUCAGAUUAAAUUAGGGUGGUACCACGUUUAAAAUCGUCCCUUUU
rnacentral:ncRNA from 1 species